GCCAGAGUGGCGGAAUUGGCAGACGCGCUGGAUUCAAAAUCCAGUGACCGCAAGGUCGUGUGGGUUCAAGUCCCACCUCUGGUA
rnacentral:tRNA from 1 species